AUCAUUGCUGGAACGCGCUUCGGCGCACCCAGAAACCCUUUGUGAACUUAUACCUAUUUGUUGCCUCGGCGUAGGCCGGCCUUUUGUGACAAAGGCCCCCUGGAAACAGGGAGCAGCCCGCCGGCGGCCAACCAAACUCUUGUUUCUAUAGUGAAUCUCUGAGUAAAAACAUAAAUGAAUCAAAACUUUCAACAACGGAUCUCUUGGUUCUGGCAUCGAUGAAGAACGCAGCGAAAUGCGAUAAGUAAUGUGAAUUGCAGAAUUCAGUGAAUCAUCGAAUCUUUGAACGCACAUUGCGCCCUCUGGUAUUCCGGAGGGCAUGCCUGUUCGAGCGUCAUUUCAACCCUCAAGCCUGGCUUGGUGAUGGGGCACUGCCUUCUAACGAGGGCAGGCCCUGAAAUCUAGUGGCGAGCUCGCUAGGACCCCGAGCGUAGUAGUUAUAUCUCGUUCUGGAAGGCCCUGGCGGUGCCCUGCCGUUAAACCCCCAACUUCUGAAAAUUUGACCUCGGAUCAGGUAGGAAUACC
rnacentral:rRNA from 1 species